rnacentral:tRNA from 1 species
GAGAGAGGCUUGCAGCAUGGAAGCCUGCUAAACUUCUUUUCCCUCGGUUGGACUCCGAGGCUCACUCG